GACGAACGCUGGCGGCGUGCUUAACACAUGCAAGUCGAACGGAAAGGCCCUGCUUGCAGGGUACUCGAGUGGCGAACGGGUGAGUAACACGUGGGUGAUCUGCCCUGCACUUCGGGAUAAGCCUGGGAAACUGGGUCUAAUACCGGAUAGGAGCCAUUUUUAGUGUGAUGGUUGGAAGGUUUUUUGGGUGUGGGUUGAGCUCGCGGCCUAUCGGCUUGUUGGUGGGGUAAUGGCCUACCAAGGCGGCGACGGGUAGCCGGCCUGAGAGGGUGGACGGCCACAUUGGGACUGAGAUACGGCCCAGACUCCUACGGGAGGCAGCAGUGGGGAAUAUUGCACAAUGGGCGCAAGCCUGAUGCAGCGACGCCGCGUGGGGGAUGACGGCCUUCGGGUUGUAAACUCCUUUCGCUAGGGACGAAGCUUUUUGUGACGGUACCUAGAUAAGAAGCACCGGCUAACUACGUG
rnacentral:rRNA from 1 species